AAUAGAUACCCUGGUAGUCCAUGCCGUAAACGUUGGGCACUAGGUGUGGGGGACAUUCCACGUUUUCCGCGCCGUAGCUAACGCAUUAAGUGCCCCGCCUGGGGAGUACGGCCGCAAGGCUAAAACUCAAAGGAAUUGACGGGGGCUCGCACAAGCGGCGGAGCAUGCGGAUUAAUUCGAUGCAACGCGAAGAACCUUACCAAGGCUUGACAUGGACCGGACCGCCGCAGAAAUGUGGUUUCCCCUUUGGGGCCGGUUUACAGGUGGUGCAUGGUUGUCGUCAGCUCGUGUCGUGAGAUGUUGGGUUAAGUCCCGCAACGAGCGCAACCCUCGUUCUAUGUUGCCAGCGGUUCGGCCGGGGACUCAUAGGAGACUGCCGGGGUCAACUCGGAGGAAGGUGGGGAUGACGUCAAGUCCUCAUGGCCUUUAUGUCCAGGGCUACACACGUGCUACAAUGGCCGGUACAAAGCGCAGCGAAGUCGCGAGACGGAGCCAAUCGCAAAAAGCCGGUCUCAGUUCGGAUUGCAGGCUGCAACUCG
rnacentral:rRNA from 1 species